ensembl:lncRNA
AGCAGAGGAUAUGGGGGAGGGGUCUGUCCCGGGAAGGCCUCAUAGGGUUCUGCUCCAUUACACAAACCCAUAGGACUAUGGCACCAAGAGUGAACCCUAGGAUGAACUGUGGGCUUUGAUAAGGACGGGUCAGCAUGAACCUUCUCAUAGCCAGUGGAAGGAACCAGAAGAGACUAGUUACUUGGUAAAAAUAAUAUUCUGGCAGGCCACUCCCUGGCUCUGAAGCUCUCACUUGCUCCCCAGCACCUUCAACUCGCACAUAGGCCUUCCGUCCGCUUCCUCUGCUGUACAGCCACUCUGGGAACUGUUAGUGGAGUAGAAAGAAAACAGGCUCUGCCUUUUGACUCUUCAUUUCUGUGCCCACCUUUGAGGGAAUGGAACACAUGUUUGCAAACUGCUCAGUUAACUCUGAAGACUGCUGGGCUGUGACCUUGCCCUCAGUGUCUGAUUCAAGAUGAAAGUGGAUGCUCCCUGACCAAAGUGCUUAAUUCUGAGUCCCCCUCCAUGUUCACACCUGUCCUCCCUGCCAAACCCCCUCCCCUGCGAGAGGAUCCAGAGCUUCUCUGGGGGAGGCACAUGAUGCUCAAACAAUUAGGAGUUCAGCUUCCAAAC